UACUUGUAAUCAGAUGCCUAGGUCGAAAAUGCAAAAGGGAACAGCCCAUCAAUCCAAAAAGGAAAAGGAAGAGAGAGAGAGAGAGAGAGAGAAAGAGAGAGAGGGGAGAGUGAGAAGAGAGGAGAGACAGAGAGAGAGGGAGAGGGAGAAGAGGGGACUGGGGUGAAAAAAUUCAGGUGACACAUAGCAGGAAGAUCGUGGUCACCAACAAAAAAAGACCCCUUGCUUGCAGCAGAAAUGGUUUGUGGGUCUCUCCCAGCCUCCAGGCCCCGCCAUCUGCCUGCACGCUUCGCUCCGAUUUCCGGGGGGCCAGGAAACCUGACUCGCCUGUGUUCUGAAGCUUGAUCCGAAAGCUUCCACAGUGUGGACGCGCCAUGUGGGGCGAGUGUGGCCGCCUGCACUCUCUUGCCCCGGCGGGGAAGUCGCCUUCGGCUCAGGAUUUAAAAGUCUCUCCCAUUUUGCUGCUUUCCUCUCUGCGGUCUUCGUGGUUCUCUCGUCACUGCGGCCAGAAGUUGAGUUACAGGAAGAUUCACCAGAGAUUUAUCGCCUGGCUCCAAACUUGGAGAGCCCCGUUGUCAUAAACAGCCAUCUAUUGUCUAGACUUUUAUCUCCGGGCCUAGGCUGAGCCGGCUUAUGCUGGAUGAUCGCCGCGGGAGGACCGGGUCCUUGGCCGGCGGCUUUGCUCCCAACCCCAUCCGCCGCAGUCUCUCCUUCAUUCAGCCGGGCCCCAAAGAGUCCGGUGUUUACAAGACUAGAAAUGCUACAGCCAUGUCCCGGCAGAAAGAAAGGCUGAAAUGGAGGACCGACGCCUUCCUUAUAAGGUGUCCCUGGGGAAGAGGUGCAGAAAAGAAGGCAAUUUGGGAUCAAAGGAGGCUUCACUCUGGACCCAGUGCCCACUUGGGGAUGACAAUGAACUUGGUUUUGCUCACUGGGGCCUGAGCCAGCACCAACCUGGUAGAAAAAGCAACCACGAAGCCAGAGAGGGAAGAGAGCUCCAGACAGCGAUGAAAAGGAACCACGCGGUUAAAAAAGGGAAGAUUCGGGGGAGUGGAGAGGGAAUUAUCCGAGAUCACAGCACGAACGCCCCAGAAGGGGAGAAGGGAGAAGACGGAAUAACCGCGCGCGGAUGCCGGGACAGCACCGGGCCCUGGCCCUGGCUCCGAUUCCCACCCGCCGCUGCCCCACACGCCGAGGGCUGGGCCCUCCAAGCCCCCCCUCGCGGCCGCCAGGGCUUCCUCGCUCUCCUUAUCAUCUCCAUCUUUAUGACGAGGCUUGUUAACAAGACCAGCGAGCUGGCCACGCACAUCUAUCUCAGCGCUCACGCUCAGCCAAGCAUCGGCCGGCGCGGGGACUAGCGAGGCACUAAUUAAUUGAUUCCUCUGGACAGUAAAAUAUGGCAGCGUCUACACGGAACCCAUAAACAAUAUCUCUGCGGGGUGUGAGUGCAUUGUCUCUCAAAGAAUUUUUCCAUAGGCGUGUGUCAAGUAGCGGAUUUUUCGCCACUAAAGAAAGACCCAAGUGGGACUCAUUUCUCCGGGGCGAGACAGAGCUAGCUCAGUGUCAGAAAAUGCUUUAAGCUGUUACUGCCUCUCCGAAAGUGUUUAGGAGUGGAUUUUGUUGAGAAAAACUUGGGUCAUGUGAUAACUUUUCCCUGCUGCUGGUGUAGACCUGGCCAACCUUAGGGAUGGGAGUCAGAGCUGAGGGGCUAGGUGGGCCAGAAUCUUCUCCCUGGUUGGCUGAUAGGGAGUGGAGCUGCUCUGUGGUUUGAGAGAGUCGUAGAAGAGUAGAAGACCAGGUCCAGCCUUUGCUUUAGGCUGUCUCUCUAGACUCCAGAUUUUAAAAAUAAAUUUUAAAAAAUGUAAACA
rnacentral:lncRNA from 1 species